GACGAACGCUGGCGGUGUGCUUAACACAUGCAAGUCGAACGGCAAGGCCCUGCUUUCGUGGUGUGCUCGAGUGGCGAACGGGUGCGUGACACGUGAGUAUCCUGCCCUUGAUUUUGGGAUAACUUCAGGAAACUGGGGCUAAUACCGGAUAGGAUCCCCUGUUGCAUGGUGGGGGUUGGAACGUUUCGGCGGUCGGGGAUGGACUCGCGGCUUAUCGGCUUGUUGGUGGGGUGGUGGCUUACCAAGGCUUUGACGGGUAGCCGGCCUGGGUGGGUGACCGGCCACAAUGGGACUGAGAUACGGCCCAGACUCCUACGGGAGGCAGCAGUGGGGAAUAUUACGCAAUGGGCGGAAGCCUGAUGCAGCAACGCCGCGUUCGGGAUGACGGCCUUCGGGUUGUAAACCGCUUUCGCCUGUGACGAAGCGUGAGUGACGGUAAUGGGUAAAGAAGCACCGGCUAACUACGUG
rnacentral:rRNA from 1 species